ACUGCAUACGAACCCAAGGGUCUUUAGUUCACGUGUAACGCCCUACGCAACGUGUGCACAAAGAAAACCCAUAAGAACCUCGUCGCCUUUUAUAGGCUGUGUGCCAAUAGAAGUGAAUUCAAGGUCCAACGCGC